AAUUUGAUUAAAAGGGACCGACGGUAUACCAGGUAAAAUUGACAGAUACUUUAAAAUUCGCUAUGUUAGCUUUCCACUUGACCGCACGGCAUUUGGCUGUCGCAAAGCAAACAGUGCCAAUGGUUGAAUUGAUUACAUUGAGCUGCAGGACAGGAAAGGGUAAAAGGAACAGAGGAAAUAUCAGCUUGACACAGUCAAGAGAUCCUUGCACACAAAGAAUGCAUUGUGUUCGAUCCAUGGACUGCAAAAAACACAUUCACCCGUCGUGUCUGCACAUGCCACGCUUAAUGGGUACGAGUAUGAUUGAUGACACCUUUUACUGUAUGGAUUUUACCGCGCUGUUGAAUUAAAAAGAGAGCGCUUCAACUCGGCGGAAGUGUUCAAAGCCGGAAUGCGUGCCGUAUCAUACCAACGCAGUGUUGUUGAUCAAAUUGGCGCGAUACAUUCGAUAUGUACCGCUUCGGCGUAUACAGUCAUUUGUCACUGCGUAAAGUCUUGGAAAACCGCGUCAGUCUUGUAUUUGAUAAAAGGAAAAUAUCCUUUCAACUUAUUAUUGGAUUAGAGGCAUCUCAAAAUGCCACCCGAGCCACUUUUUCUUGCGGAAAUCCUUCAGCCAACGUCCGAUCUAUCAUUUCAGAAUAAAGGUACAUGAAAUGUGACUUUUCACAUGUAUUAACAUCAGCGGUGUAAUAAGAAGACCAUCCUACUGAAUCAGGUAGACUGGACUUCAUUGACUGUCCAGCAGUCUUUGGCCACAAUGAGCAGACUUGAAAAGCUUUAGACAUUUUGUUUUGAUCAUCAUUUUUUUUAAAUUAAAAUUGUUGCCAUUUUAAUAUACCUUGAUAAAACUCUGCUGAUAAUUUAUUUACUUAUUGUAGUUAUU